UCAGCUGAUGUUCUGCCAAGUCUCUGGGUGA
rnacentral:piRNA from 1 species